rnacentral:lncRNA from 1 species
GAGUCGUUGACAUAUGGUUUGUGACAUAUUAGUUGUAAACCUCAAGUGAUCCAUAACUAAAGUUGAAUGGCAUUCAAUUGUGAUUCAGUCAUCCAUUCUAAGAGAUUCAAAGGCUAAUGAAACUACCGUCCACACAACAGUUAUACGGAGCCUAACAAAUCAUUCAAAUUCAAUCUUUUCAAUCCGUACAAUAGUUAUGUGGAUGACCAAAAUCAUCCGCACAAUUAUUGUGCGGACGGGAGUAUUAAGUGGGACAAGCACUGCUCAACUAUUUGUUAG